rnacentral:tRNA from 1 species
GGGUGAUUGGCGCAGAGGCUAGCGCAGCUGUUUUACACACAGCAGGUCGGGGGUUCGAGUCCCUCAUCGCCCACCA